CUUGACCGACCCGAGCAGCAGCGGGUCCUCCCGGUCCUGCCCGUACGUGGCCAGCAGCGCCUGCGCCUC
rnacentral:antisense_RNA from 1 species